rnacentral:rRNA from 1 species
GUGCCAGCCGCCGCGGUAAGACGAACCGUCCAAACGUUAUUCGGAAUCACUGGGCUUAAAGGGUGCGUAGGCGGUGCGGAAAGUUGGGUGUGAAAGCCCUCGGCUUAACCGAGGAACGGCGCCCAAAACUACCGUGCUAGAGGAAGAUAGAGGUGAGCGGAACUUAGGGUGGAGCGGUGAAAUGCGUUGAUAUCCUAAGGAACACCAGUAGCGAAAGCGGCUCACUGGGUCUUUUCUGACGCUGAGGCACGAAAGCUAGGGGAGCGAAGAGGAUUAGAUACCCUCGUAGUCCUAGCCCUAAACAAUGAGCACUGGUUUGGAGGGGCCUCCAUACCCCUCCAGACGCAGCGAAAGUGUUAAGUGCUCCGCCUGGGGAGUAUGGUCGCAAGGCUGAA